CAAAGUUUUCGCGCUGCUAGAAGCACCCGUGCGGGGGGCAGGUGCUGUGAAUGGCAGUGUCUGGCUUUCAGGUGGUCUCCAGGGGGCUGGAAAUUCCCUCCUUGCUUGUAGUCCCUCCAUCGGUGGCUUCCCAUGGCCUUUAAGAGGACAGUAACAGGUGAUGUUUAUAUGUGCCGGGCACUUUCUGAGAACGUUUCUUAUGUUCCCUCCUGUGAUCCUCGCAACAGCGCUAUGAGUUUUGAAAGUACCAGUCAUGACAUUACCUUCAUGGCACGUCAACGGAAUCCUGCUGCAGAAUUUGGCAUGUUACUGAAAUGUUGUUGUGAGUAGUAAGUGAGAUAAGGGCUUAGAACAGUGGCUGGCACAGAGGAGGUGCUCAAUAAAUGUUUGUUGAAUCAAUCAAUGACACUGGGCCCAGACUGCGGCGCUGGGCUAAUGAACCAGUGGGGACCAUGGCGAGCCAUUCUGGUGGACAUUCUAAGUACAAACCAAGUGCCCUCGGGUCACAGAGGAAGCAGAGAUCAAUUGUGACUGUGGGUCAAGGAGGAGGAGGCCUCUGAGUGAUCCCUGAAGCUGGGUGGAACGGCAAAGAUGGAGCUGUAAGUAGAGAGAGAGCAUCCCAUGUGGAGGGAGAGGCAAAGGCAAAG